rnacentral:rRNA from 1 species
ACCUACGGGGGGCAGCAGUGGGGAAUAUUGGGCAAUGGGCGCAAGCCUGACCCAGCAACGCCGCGUGAAGGAAGAAGGCUUUCGGGUUGUAAACUUCUUUUAUGAGGGACGAAAGAAAUGACGGUACCUCAUGAAUAAGCCACGGCUAACUACGUGCCAGCAGCCGCGGUAAUACGUAGGUGGCAAGCGUUAUCCGGAUUUACUGGGUGUAAAGAGAGCGCAGGCGGCACGGCAAGCCUGAUGUGAAAGCCCGCGGCCCAACCGCGGGACUGCAUUGGGAACUACCGGGCUGGAGUGCCGGAGAG